rnacentral:rRNA from 1 species
UACAGAGGUCUCGAGCGUUAGGCGGAAUCACUGGGCUUAAAGCGUGUGUAGGUGGAUCGUUAAGUACCUUGUGAAAUCCCACGGCUUAACCGUGGAACUGCUUGGUAUACUGGCGAUCUUGAGCCAGCUAGGGGCUACCGGAACAAAUGGUGGAGCGGUGAAAUGCGUAGAUAUCACUUGGAACGCCAAUGGUGAAAACAGGUAGCUGGGGGUGUGCUGACGCUGAGGCGCGAAAGCCAGGGGAGCAAACGGG